rnacentral:rRNA from 1 species
AGCAGCCGCGGUAAUUCCAGCUCCAAUAGCGUAUAUUAAAGUUGUUGCAGUUAAAAAGCUCGUAGUUGAAUUUCGGGAUCAAUACGUCGGUCGUGCUUCGGUACGUACUGGCAUUGUUGGUUUCUCCCUUCUGACGAACCAUGAUGUCAUUUAUUUGGUGUUGUGGGGAAUCAGGACUGUUACUUUGAAAAAUUAGAGUGUUUAAAGCAGGCUCACGCUUGAAUACAUUAGCAUGGAAUAAUGAAAUAGGACGUUUGAUUCUAUUUUGUUGGUUUCUAGGAUCGACGUAAUGAUUAAUAGGGAUAGUUGGGGGCAUUAGUAUUCAAUUGUCAGAGGUGAAAUUCUUGGAUUUAUUGAAGACUAACUACUGCGAAAGCAUUUGCCAAGGAUGUUUUCAUUAAUCAAGAACGAAAGUUAGGGGAUCGAAGACGAUCAGAUACCGUCGUAGUC